GAUGAAGAACGCAGCGAAAUGCGAUAAGUAAUGUGAAUUGCAGAAUUCAGUGAAUCAUCGAAUCUUUGAACGCACAUUGCGCCCCCUGGUAUUCCGGGGGGCAUGCCUGUUCGAGCGUCAUUUCACCACUCAAGCCUCGCUUGGUAUUGGGCAACGCGGUCCGCCGCGUGCCUCAAAUCGUCCGGCUGGGUCUUCUGUCCCCUAAGCGUUGCGGAAACUAUUCGCUAAAGGGUGUUCGGGAGGCUACGCCGUAAAACAACCCCAUUUCUAAGGUUGACCUCGGAUCAGGUAGGGAUACCCGCUGAACUUAAGCAUAUCAAUAAGCGGAGGA
rnacentral:misc_RNA from 1 species